UUCCAGGAUGGUUCUUUCAAUGCCACUACAACGGCCGUUGUGAAAGUUACAGAUGUUCAAAAUCGGCCGCCAGUGUUCCUCGGAUCUUUUUCUGCCGUCGUCAGUGAAGACGUCCCCGUGGGAACUUACGUGAUGACAGUGAAAGCAAUCGAUGGCGACCGAGGAAUUCCCAGGAAUAUUCGCUACUCUAUCGUUUCGAAUCCAGAAAACUUCUUCGCAAUCAACAGAAACACGGGGUUAUAACAACUGCGAACUUGUUGGACAGAGAGAAACUGAGCUCCUCAAACGGCGUGGUCACUGUCAAAGUCAAAGCUUCGGAGCUGGAAGGCGACCGGCCGCUGGACGAACCGGGAUCAUCGACGACCACCGCGUUGGCCAUCACGGUGAAGGACGUGAACGACGAGGCGCCUACGUUCAGCCGGCCAAGCUACAGUGUCAGCGUGAGCGAGAACAUUCCUCCUGGGAGCCCACUGCCGAACCUUGACAUGUUCGUCCAGGACACGGACACGGGUUCCAACUCAGUUUUUAAUAUCAACCUCAUGGAUUCUUCUGGGAUGUUUGCCGUGGAGCCCACCAUCGCAACUGGUUCGACAUCUGUAAGCAUCCGGAUUGUGAAAGGACCGCUGGACUACGAGAAUCCCAACCAGCGAAAGUUUAUCUUACUGGUGGUCGCGGAAGAAGCAUUCACGAAUCCGAAGUUGUCCAGCACGGCUACGGUUACAGUGAAUGUGCUCGAUAUCAACGACAACGCUCCUGUGUUUGAAGAAGACAGCUACACUGCUUCGAUUGUCGAAGAUGCGUCACCCGGUAGCGUGGUUACGACCAUAGUGGCUACGGACAGAGAUACAAGCCCACAUGGAGAGUCUGGUCUAAUGUACUCACUUCUCGGAAACGGUGCCGACAAAUUCCACGUGGACCCCAGCUCGGGCGUGGUGACGGUGGCGCCGUGCGAGACUCCUGGCCGCGGUAAUUGCCUAGACUUCGAGUCGCGGCCCUCCUACUUCCUCUCGUACCAGGCGACGGACGACCGGGGCCGGGGCCAGAGCGCCGUGGUGCCACUUACAGUGCGCCUCACAGACGCCAACGACAACCCGCCGGCCUUCGAACAGCACCUGUACACGGCGCUCAUCGACGAGGGAGACGUGCGUUUCGACCCCCCGCUCAGGGUCCAGGCCCGAGACCCUGAUGUGACGUCGUUCGUGAAGUACAGCAUCGUGUCCGGAAACAGCUACAAUCUGUUCACUAUCAACCCGCAGACGGGUGACAUUACAGUCACCAAUCGUCAAGGAUUGGAUGUUUCUCUCCUCAAGUCUGACGUGAUUACACUGACCGUUCAGGCUUCGGACGGUGGUUCGGGUAUCGAUACUGCUAUAGUGAAGAUUACUGUAAGGGAUGCCAACAACAACGCUCCCGUCUUUCAGAAAGAGCGCUACAUUGCUUCAGUUCCUGAGGCUUCUCCGCCAGGCACCCUGGUGGAACAGGUGUCUGCGACGGACGCCGACACGGGGGCAAACGCUCACGUCACAUACCGCAUCCUCAAGGGAGCCUUCGAUGACUUCACCAUAGAUGCCAACACUGGAGUGGUCUCGCUGUCCGCGACAAGUCGCCUAGACUAUGACAGGCGAAGCAGCUACGUAAUGGAGAUUAUUGGGGUCGACGGCGGCGUUCCAGAGAAGACAGGAACCACUACGCUCAGCGUGAACAUUCUGAACAGCAACGACAAGAUGCCAUACUUUCAGCCGACGACCCAAAGGGCACAAGUGUCUGAAGGGGCGCCAGUUGGUUACAGAUUCUACAAACUUGUUGCCAAAGAUCCGGAUGCUAGUUCACCAGAAUUCUUGAAGUACGGCAUUGCUGAACCUGUAACAGCCAUCGCCAAAGACGGAAGAAACGUGAAUGAGUCAGUUCAAGCGUACAAGGCUUUUUUCGAUGUGGAUGAAAAUACUGGAGAAGUGAAAGUGGCGUCUCAGCUCAACCGCGAAGCUGCUGCCGUCGUUAUGCUAACAACCGUGGUGACCGACGUCAGCGCUGUGCCACGUCAGACUGGCUUAGGGACUCUCGUGAUAACCAUAGUGGACCUCAAUGAUUUUCCACCAACGUUUCCGCCGCCUUGGAGCCCUGACCACCCGGAACUGUACAUCAGCGUCAUGGAGGAGCAGCCCAUAGGAAGUGUUGUAGCGUCCUUCGUCGCCACAGACCCAGACUCGAACAUUGCCAGUUACGCGAUAGAACCCGAAAAUCCUUAUUUCGCCAUUGACAAGCUUUCAGGUGUGGUCACAAUACACAAGAGAGUCGACUACGAACGAGUGCAAGAAUUGAGGUUUUCCGUUGUUGUACGAGACACCGGCAUUCCUCAACUAUCAGCGGUCGCGUUGGUUACGGCAACUGUUACGAACAUAAAUGACAACGACCCCACUUUUUCUCAGAAAGCCUACCACGCUUCAGUCCAGGAAAACGCCCCUCAAGGUACGUUUGUGACAAGAGUUGAGGCAAGAGACAUCGAUGCUGGAGAAUUCGGAGUCGUUUCUUACUCCCUGCUGGGUGAGAAAAGCGGAGACUUCCACGUCAAUAAGCAGGGGGAAAUACGCGUGGCGGGAAUGGCCAACUUAGAUAGAGAAAUUACUGCCGCGAUCACCCUUCAAGUGGUAGCCACUGACAUGGGUCAUGAAACAACAACGAGGAGAUCUGUGUCCGUACCGGUGUACAUCACCCUCCUCGAUGACAAUGACAGCCCUCCUGUUUUCACAAAGAAGACCUACGAGGCCUCGUUCGUCGCAAACAGCCCGCUGGAGUCGGCACAGAGCAUUGUUCAAGUGUCGGCAACGGAUGCGGAUGAAGGAAUCAACGCCGAGAUUCGCUACUCUAUCGUUGCUGGGAACGAAAACGGUGUCCUCGCUGUCAACCCGAAGACCGGCAUCGUAUACCCCGUGAAAAAGCUGGAGAGCAGCCGCAAGGAGUACCGCAUCGGGCUUGAGGCGCGCGACGGCGCAGGUAACGGGCCCAACACAGACAACUGUAUCGUACUCAUCAGGCUCAUCGAAAUCAACCUGGACAAGCCGCAUUUUGUGACGCCGUCACUUCCCAACGCGACUGUAGAAGUCAUGGAGAAUCAAACCCACUCUAAUCAGAUCAUAAUGACAGUGGAAGCCACGGACAAGGACCACGGAGAUAACGGCCGAAUUUCCUACUACUUUAAGGUAGGAGAUAGGAACGUCGCUGAAACGGACGAAUUUCGUAUCGAUGAAGUCACGGGAGAAAUUCAGGCAAAAGUCAUCCUCGACAGAGAGUUGAGGCCACGUUACGAGCUGGUGCUUGUCGCCAAAGACCACGGCACACCUGCCCCAUUUGAGACGCUGCGGUUCCUGACCGUUGUGUUGAAGGAUAUCGACGACAACGCGCCUCUAUUCCCUCGCACCCGAUCUACGACCCCUUAUGUGUUCCACAUCAAGGAGAACUUAAACCACGGUUUCCACGUCGGAAAGGUGACAGCUAUUGACCAAGACGUCGGCGAGAAUGCCAUGGUCUACUAUUAUAUUAUCGAUGGAAAUUGGGAUAUGCUGUUCACGAUUGACAAGAUGCAGGGAAUCAUCUACUCAAAUGCCUCGUUUGACCGAGAAUCCAAGGACGUCUUCGAACUGGUGGUGAAAGCUUCCAGCAACCCAGAUUUCCUCGUAUACUCGAGGCAAGCCGAUGGCCUUCCUCCCAGCAUACGCAGCUACAGCGAGUCCGACAGAACGGUGGCCCUCGUCAAUGUGCACAUUGACGACGUGAACGAUAAUGCGCCAGUUUUCAUAAACGCCCCGUACUACGCAGGGCUGCGUUUCACCGCCGUGGAAGGAGACACAGUAUUCACCGUGCGUGCCCGGGACCCAGACGAAGAGACGUCGGACGGCCCGGCCAUCGCAUACCGCAUCGAGCACGUCACGCUGUUCCUUCCUGGCUCAACGGGUGGUAUCCGACCCAUACCAGCCUCGUUUAAUGUGUCAGCCGACGGCCGUGUGUGUGCUACCCACCCCAUGGCCCAGUACAGUCAGGCGCGCUUCACCGUCGCCCUUGAGGCCAAGGAGACGGUGCCUCCGCACCGCGCUGCCCGCACCACGCUGAAGGUCUGGAUCUACGAACCCGAACAACUAGUGCGAGUAAUAAUCGCUCAGCCCCCGGAGGAAGUGUACAGGGAUCAAAGGAGCGUCAUAGUUGUCCUUUCUAAUGCCACUGGAGGAACUGUCGUGAUUGACAAGUUGAAAUAUCACGUGAACGACAAGGGGAAGCUAGUGAAAUCUUGGACUGACCUGCACAUUCACGUUCUUGACAAAAACGACCGUGUAAUUCACACACCGGAGGUUCUCGACGCAGUUGAUUCCAACAUCAAGCUCGUCCGGUUCCAAAACCCUGAACUGCAAAUUCACAACGUUCUCCCUGCACGAGUUGGCAUCAGCAAGCAAGAGUUCGAUUUGGCCUUAGCUGUGCUGAUUGCGAUGCUGGUGGUGAUAUUCGUCGGCGUCGUGACCAUGAUGGUUUGUUGUACCUGCCUGAAAUCCUGGUAUGCCUACAAAGCCAAGGAAGCUUUAGUACGGCACGACGAAAGUCCCCCGGUGACUACUACAGAGAAUCCGCUGUGGACAGAACAGAAGCUCAAGAUCUACGAAGAACAGGAGCUGAGCAUGAGCGUCGCGCCUGACAACAUGGUGACCACGGAGGCGGACAUCGCCGCCUUCAACUUCAACGACGACACGAGCAGCGCCGUGUAUGCCACGCUGCGGCGCAACAGCGUCAGCCACGUGGUCGCAGAGUCGCGCAACGGCUACUCCACCCUCACGAGCCACCGGCCCACGGCCUCGUCCCGCAGGCAGCGCGAGCCGGACGCCACAGAUAGUCACGAGUACCAUGAGCUGCAUUCGAGCGACGCCCGUCCCACCGGCGACAGCACUCCGUUCAGCACCUUCAGACCCACGGGGAAGAACACGCCCACGACAGAAGGGAGGCUCUUCCAAGAAGCGAGCUCCUCCCAUAAAAGCAAUGAGCCUGUUCUAGUGGCCGAGCUGUUAUAGGACGAUAUUUAUUCUUAAGGCUGGCGACGACGCCGUCACCCCUCCGAUACAGUGGGAUUCACAGACGGAAUCCAGCAACCGCAGAUGCUUCACUUUUCCUUUGUGCGUGGAUCAGUGUUUGUGUGAGAGAGAGAGGGUGCGUGCGCGCUUGCAGGUGUUACGUGUUAUCAGGCAAGUGUGAAUAAUUCCGGUGCUUUGUGCGCGACCACGAGCGUGAGGUAUAUAUAUAUAUGUAUAUUAUAGUGGCGCGAAGAGCGAGCGGAACGUUCGUUCGUGCCUUCGUAUACUGCGACGCUCGUCGUCGUUUGGCCAAAUCAAGUUAAGAGGAAGAACGAAAGGACCUAUACCGAGGAAGUUCACCUGGCGUGGUCGCAUCGCUCGAGGUUGAGCGAUUUUGCACUGCGUGUGCCAGUCGCCCAUGAGGCCUACUUCGAAGCCCAAGUUUUUUCGUUUUCUUGCUCCAUGAGAUCUUCGCAGAGGACACUCACCAGACAUCACCUGAUGCAUUCGAUGGCAGCCUUCUCUAUAGCUUCACGAUUAAGCAUUUUCUCCCUUAGUAUCAGCUAGCGUGCCAUGCCCGCAGGUGUGUUCAUCGAGCAUCAAAGCCAAAAUGUCAAUGAACAAAGAGCGUGCGAAACGACGCAUACGGCGAAUCUCAAGGGAAAAAAAACAAACGAAAUCACUUUUCUCCUACAGGUGUCUUUUGUGGCUAAUGUAUACUGUCACUACGUGCGUGAUGUCGGCGUUCGCUUUUCACUUACUUGGUGGCUUCGCUGUAACGAGGGUCUCCUGCAUUUUCUGAACACAGAUAUGUUUACAUAGUUUCUUUGAUAUUCAAUGCGCAUUGCAUUGAAAAGCUAAUGCCGUUAGUCAAAUUUCAAACUUGGCAGCAUCGCUUACAUUGGAUAGACGUACAUACAUGCGCAAGGACUUUAUUGGCGAGAAGUUACGAGGGUAUGGUUAAUAAGCUAAAGAACAUUAUUGGACAUUUCCUUAACUGUUCCAACAUAUAUGCUUGCAGUGCGUACUUAAAAUUUGCAAUAAGCACUGUUGUUAGUAUGUCGCUACGAGCUACGAUAUACAUGUAUCGUUAAAGUUUCCAGUGUCUUCUCGGUGAAAGAGUGUUUGCACGCCCACACUCUUUCAUUAUUUCCACCGUCUUCGCUGAAAGGAGUACUGACACGAAUUUUAGAAGUUUUCGCAUUCUUGCUCUCAAUAAGAACACUUGCGUCGAGAAUUCUAAAAAGAGUAUCGUGGUGCCUCGGAAAGCUUUGAAUGUGCUUUUAAUCCCACUUACCUAAAAACCUCUUUCGUUUUCGAUGUCAAACGGGGCGGUGCCAGGGUCAACACAGUCUGGCGUAGGUCUAAGUCACGUGGGGACAGCAACGCGUGACGUACUAGCAGCAGCUACGUCGUCUGCUGUCAGUUGCACGUGGUGCACGUAAACAAAGAUGAGUUAAUUGUCGUCCAGCGACUCCGACAGCGACUUCGGCCGCGUACAGGGCGUAGAGUUGAUAUAACCAGCGAACUGCGUUGACUCGUCAUGAUAAUGUCCUUUGCGGUGGGGGUGGCUUGCAGAUGCUGGGUGACGAAAACUUUAAAGUCAAACUGAAAUAUUUUAAACGUGCUUUCUGGGCCCGGUGUGUUGACAGCAUUAACGGUUCAUGCCAAGGAAACGAAAAAUAUCCCUUUUGCGAGCCUCAAAAUCGUGUCGGUGCUCCUUUAAGGCGCAAUGUUUGCUGGUUGUCGGGCCCCUUCCGAUGCGGUUCAGCCGCACUUUUUUUUUUUUCACUUUAUAAACACCUUUCUACAAUUAACAUCCGCCUAACCACAAAAAGCAGAUACAAAGCAGGAAUUACCACACAGACCACCACUCUUUGUAAAUAAAUGUGCAUUGACUAAAAGGACACACGGUAUUAUAUAUACACACACACACACACACACACGCGCG
rnacentral:misc_RNA from 1 species